rnacentral:rRNA from 1 species
UACGGAGGGUGCAAGCGUUAUCCGGAUUUACUGGGUUUAAAGGGUGCGCAGGCGGAUAUGUAAGUCAGUGGUGAAAUCUCCGGGCUUAACCCGGAAACUGCCGUUGAUACUAUAUAUCUUGAAUGCUGUGGAGGUAAGCAGAAUAUGUCAUGUAGCGGUGAAAUGCUUAGAUAUGACAUAGAAUACCUAUUGCGAAGGCAGCUUACUACGCAGAUAUUGACGCUCAGGCACGAAAGCGUGGGGAUCAAACAGG